GAGAGAGAGACAGUCCUGACAACAGAGAGAGAGAGAGAGAGAGAGAGAGAGAGACAGUCCUGACAACAGAGAGAGAGAGAGAGAGAGAGAGAGAGAGAGAGAGAGAGACAGUCCUGACAACGGAGAGAGAGAGAGAGAGAGAGAGAGUCCUGACAACAGAGAGAGAGAGAGAGAGAGAGAGAGAGAGACAGUCCUGACAACAGAGAGAGAGAGAGAGAGAGAGAGAGAGACAGUCCUGACAACAGAGAGAGAGAGAGAGAGAGAGAGAGAGACAGUCCUGACAACGGAGAGAGAGAGAGAGUCCUGACAACAGAGAGAGAGAGAGAGACAGUCCUGACAACGGAGAGAGAGAGAGAGAGAGAGUCCUGACAACGGAGAGAGAGAGAGAGAGUCCUGACAACGGAGAGAGAGAGAGAGUGUCCUGACAACGGAGAGAGAGAGAGAGAGUCCUGACAACGGAGAGAGAGAGAGAGAGUCCUGACAACGGAGCGAGAGAGAGAGAGAGAGUCCUGACAACGGAGCGAGAGAGAGAGUCCUGACAACGGAGCGAGAGAGAGAGAGAGAGACAGUCCUGACAACGGAGCGAGAGAGAGAGAGAGAGAGAGUCCUGACAACGGAGGAGCGAGAGAGAGAGAGAGAGAGACAGUCCUGACAACGGAGCGAGAGAGAGAGAGAGAGAGACAGUCCUGACAACGGAGAGAGAGAGAGAGAGAGAGAGAGAGAGAGACCUGACAAAGGAGAGAGAGAGAGACCUGACAAAGGAGAGAGAGAGAGAGAGAGAGACAGUCCUGACAAAGGA
ensembl:lncRNA